UCCCCUUUCCUGCAUCGUUUGUCUUUAAUUGUGGAUGCAGCUGAGUGCCUCUCGUGCACGACACAGGAAUGGAACAGGACCCGGGCACAUGGAGGCCUUCUUCUGGUGUUUGCGAGCAGGCACUGGCUAGAAGGCUGUGAGAGAUCAAACUUACAUGGAAUUAGGAAGUAUCGUCUCUGAGACUAUGAAUGGACUGCUGACAAGAUGAGGAAUUUAGGUGCUGCACUAUGGAUCAGAAGUAAGCACCCUCAAUGACUUAACUUGGGAGUUGAACAGAAGAUGAACAUCUAUAGAAAUGAGGGAAGAAGGACUAUUCACUCUUUGAAGGGCAGGAUGAUGACCUUAAAUUACAGAAUGUUAGAGAUGAAAGGAACUGCACAAAUCUGGAAGACUAGAGUGACAUGGCUGGACUAGACAGUCUCUGGAAUCUAAGCCUGAGCCACCUGAUGUGUAGCUCAGAGUUUCUCAGUUUCUCCUAUUGGUCCUCUUCCUCUCACACUUGACAAGAGUGAGUGAAAAACACCACUGGUGUCUUAUUGUUCCUUUAUGGUUUAACAUAUCCAGAAACUAAAGAACGUGCCAAUAUAUAGUACUGAUUUCUGCAGUGCACCGCAGAUAUAAUCAGCUAGUCAACAACUCUUAUAAUGCUACCUGGUGAAAAUCACAAGACUGUGAGGAUUAUAAUCAUCUUCACCUCAAAACUGCUCGCAGGGUUCUGUAAACGAAAAUGAUUUAGAAAUAAAAGUGUGAAAAUGCACAAAAGACUUACUGGGCAUUUCAAGCUUCCAGGAUACAAGAGCAGACAUAAACAUCAAACAGGAGUAAGAAAGGAAGAGCUGAAGAUGAGAGGGCAACAAGUCAUCUGCAGGCCCAAAGAAAGGCCAAAGAACUCAGGAACAGACUGAAGUACUGUUGUGACUUUUAAGUAACAAGGGGAACCAGAAACAGAAAUUGUUGGUGUAAAACAUUUUACUUCCAUUUACAUACAUCAGUGGUGGUGAGCCUAUAGCAUACGUGUUAUUAUCUUUUUCUUUAAGACAAAAGAUGUUAAUGUAGAGUUGUUUUUUCUAAACCCAAACCUCAGUGUUCAGAUUUAAUUGCAGCGUUGGCACUUGGUGAUAAGUGAGUGGGUUUGGGGUUGCAGUUCAGCACUGAGUCUCUAAGGCGUUUGCCAUCGGUGGUGUAGAUUGACAGCAGUGUCUCUCAGUCGGAGCUAUCUCGUCCCCAGGGACAUUUGUGAUAUCUAGAUAUAUUUUGACACUGAUCACUCAGGGGCUAAAGCAAGCGGAGGAAGGAUUGCAAGGCAAAUGACUGCUAAUAAAUAAGCUCAUUGUGUGUCUGAUGAGGGGGAUCUGAGUGACAAGAGCAAAGGCUGAGUGUAAAAAGAAGCUCCUGAAAUAAACUGAAAUUAGGUAGAUAUAGUUUCAUCAGCGUAUCAAUCACCACGAUAUUCUGCAAGAAGAAGUGGUAAGUGUUGGAGAUCGGGCUGUACAGGGUUAAGCUGCUGAGCACAGGGACCUUCGGCUGUGUUGGAAAAGCUCACACUCACAGCGCUCUGAAGUCAAGAUGCCACCAGAGCGGAAUCUGAGUACACAUGCUGCUGACACUCCCCAUUCCAGAGCAAUAAAGCUGCCGACCUUAGAGAUCAAAUAGUUCUCUUAGUUGGCAGAGUUCGCUGCCUUUGUUCCAACUUCCUGGGGCUUUGGGUUCUCUUCUGCACCCCUCCAGUCUGUGGAAUAAGUACGGGCUGUCUGGAGAAGUUCUUUGUCUUUACUCGCAGAGAGUCUCUGCUCCCAGAGAGUUUUUGACCUUCCUGGAGGCCCAAAAAUCAUACUACUGUCUCUUUUAUUUAAACUGUUCACCAUCCACUCGUUUAGGAGAUUGGGGGUAGGCCAAGACCCUGAUAGGUAAAUGUGAGCAUUUAUUCAAUAAUCAAAUGAGUCAUUAAAAUGAAACAUAACCAAUUCUAUCUAACCAAAGUAAUACUUAGUGUAAUUAUUGAUACUGAUAGUUUGUCAUGAAUAAUAAGGAUGAGGGAUUUUAUGAGCUAAAAGAGAUCUGUGUAUAGUACUUCGCUGAUGGCCCGUUUCCCCAGAGAGGGAUAACAAGCACACGCUGUGAAGUGGCACUUUAAGCAUUGCAUCUUCAGAGAUUUUACUCAAGUAAUAAAACAGAGGGAUAGACGUUUUGAGUUUUCCAUGUGGGAUUUCCAAGUACCCAGAAGUAUGAGAGAAGUGUGCAGGUUCUGCUCAAUAGUUCAUAAUACUCUUCUCACGCACAGCUGCACACUGGGUCAUUUGACUUUUCCCUAUUUCUUGCUUAUCUUUCUGAUUUCUGUGUUUCUGAUGGACAUUCAUAUAGCUUUCUUGUCAUCUUUCUCCAAGGUGAGAAAUCAAAAAAAAUUUUUUAAGGGAUUAAAAGACCUUUACAUUUGGGGGUCAGGGA